AUGGAUUUGAACCCAAGAAUGUUUAUUGUUGAUCCCAUGAAGAGAAUCAUAAUAUGUGAAAUUCGAGACCACCCAUGGUUUCAGAAUCACCUUCCUAGCUACCUGGCACCACCAAACACAGCACAGCAAGCCAAAAUGAAGAUUGACGAAGAUACACUUCAAGAUGUUGCCAAUCUGGGAUAUGAUAAAGAUCAUGUGUGUGAAUCGUUGUGCAAUAGGCUGAAAAAUGAGGAAACUGUUGCAUAUUACUUGCUCUUGGACAGUCGGUUCCGGGCUACUAGUGGAUAUUUGGGGGCAGACUAUCAACAAUAA
rnacentral:rRNA from 1 species